UACGUAGGGGGCGAGCGUUGUCCGGAUUUAUUGGGCGUAAAGCGCACGUAGGCGGCUCGUUAAGUCGGAUGUGAAAGCCCUCGGCUCAACCGAGGAAGGGCAUCCGAAACUAGCGAGCUUGAGUACGGAAGAGGGUCUCGGAAUUCCCGGUGUAGAGGUGAAAUUCGUAGAUAUCGGGAGGAACACCAGUGGCGAAGGCGGAGACCUGGGCCGAUACUGACGCUGAGGUGCGAAAGCGUGGGGAGCAAACAGG
rnacentral:rRNA from 1 species